rnacentral:lncRNA from 1 species
UUUUCAGAUCCUGAGCCAGCUGAGUUGCAGCUUUUCAGCCCUCUUUUUCGUGCUUUCUGUGAAAUUGGCUUUUACUAAUUAGUAUUUUCAGUGCAAGUACAUCUACCACGAUGGAUUCUACGACUUAUCCUCCUGUUGUUUUUGGACAAGCACCCAGUGAAUCAUGCUCCUCACACCGUUAAGCUUGAGUUUUCUGGAACAUUACUUAGACUAUUUUUUGCUAAUUAAUCGUAGUAAUAAAAAAAAAUAAACUCCGAGGAAAAUGACCCUUGCCCUUUGAUAACUUGCGGGUUUCCUCGGAGAUCGCUGUCUUCACUUUCUCUUACGCUUUUCUUUAUCAGUAGUUGUUCAACUUCCUCCGUAAACUCAUAAAUUGUAUUUUUAUUAACUCAUCAAUUUCAGUUCAGUCUUACUGUUCCGCUGUUGAUUUAGCUCUUAUUUUUUUCCUUUUAACUGUCCAAGUUUUUUUUCCCAUUGCCUUGUAAUUUCGCCCCUCUCUAUUUUCAAAUACGUCCGUUAUGGUGACCGAAGAAGAUUCUACCUAUCUUGGAUUAGAUUUUAGCACUCAACAGAACCCAUUGUGGAGUUAUUCAUGGCUCAGAUCCAAAAAAUAUCACUGCUCCAACUGUCAUGUGGGUAAAAGCCCUCGAUUGCUAUUGAUCAGUUAGGAGCAGAUGGAGCAGAUUUUAGCAAAUUGGCAGCAGUCUCUGGAUCAGGGCAGGUGAGUUACCUGAUUUCGUUUACUACAUGAAAGAGUGUUUUUUUAAGUAAAUAAAAUGAUCCUGACAUAAUAAGAAAAUAAUCACUCAAUGCUGAUAAAUGUCUUUUUUUAAUCAUUUAAAACGCAGCCAAAAAAAUAAUCAGGCAUUGGAUGCAGAAAGGGCAUCUCUUGAUAGCAGAAUCUUCAUUGCCAAUUAAUAUUCCAGAGAGGAGACUUUUUGAUGAACUUUCUGAUUUGUUAGCUUUUAUCAUUGCACCUACCCUACAAUCUUAACGAAAAUUCAGUAGAGGUUAAAACAAAUUGGUUUUGUUGGUCAUUCACUCAGCUUCUUUACAAUAUCUUGAAGUUUUUUUGAAAUUUGUUGAAAGCCAACUUUUUUUGUAGUCCUGCAUGUAUCUCUUCUUGCCAUAGGCCCUGCUCGUAAGCUGAGUAAAAAUUUCAUCAAGAUUUUCUUCACCUCAAUAAUUUUUUUCCGCUGCACCUAAAAUUUCAUAUUUUUUUUUCAUUUUUAGCAACAUGGACUGUUUACUGGCAGAACAACGCAAGGAAAACUCUCAAAUCUUUAGAUCCAUCAAACUUUCUUUACACUCAGUUAGCUUCAAGUUUUUCUGUCCCUUAUGGACCUGUUUGGAUGGAUUCAAGCACCUCAAAACAGUGCAGUGAUAUGGAAAAAGCUGUCGGAGGACGGAGGUAAAUCUUGUUUUAUUCAUACUGAACCGCAACUAAAAACCAAAAAAAAAGCCAGUUACAUGUAGUUAUGGUGUUGACACCCUCAACCAGGUUGUGCUGUGUUGCCAAUGGACCACUAGACAAGGUACGAA